rnacentral:lncRNA from 1 species
UGUAAAAAAUGUAAUUUUUUGAUCGUGAAAAUGUUCCUUUUGAAUGGGAUCACGUAUCGUCAAGAUUUCCAAGAGUUACAUCAUUUUUUAAGUCGUGUUCACUACACUCCCUGGGAAUUUGACAAAGCUGUUUAAAAAAUUCUGUAGUUAUUUCUUUGCAAUAAUGGAUGGAUACAAUGUUUGCGAUGAAAACCACGUUUAACCAAGAAAGAACAGGGUGCAUUUUACCUGACAUAGUUUAAAAUAAUGCCGAACCUAUCAUCACCUGAUUUUUAAACCAUUUGGAGAACCUGUUGCUACAGAUUGAAGUUCAGAAAUGGUUUUUUAGCCAUUCCGUAAUCCUAUUACUCAUAGAGGUUUUAACUGUUUGAACGUAUGUGCAGUACAAGAGAGUCGAUGGCGGAAUAUCAAGUACACCAUCAAUCCUCAACCAGACUAGAAAUUUACCCAAUGAACUACAAGGAUCUCUGAGGAACGUUCUACUUCUGAUUACCUGCAACUCAGAUCAGCUUCAGCUGCUCGUCAUGGUAACGGCGUAAUGACAUCUAACAUCAUGAUAUGAACAGUUCCAGUUGCAGAUGUUAUAAAGAGUGUCAUUGGUUCAAGAGAAAUUCAACCGAGCCAUCUAAAAAGGACACCCUGUAUAAUUUAUAUUUCGCUACUUAUACUACACCAUC